rnacentral:tRNA from 1 species
UGUAUGGUGUACUCUUAAUCGGUAAAGCGGCGCCCACUUGUAUAGCUUCCAGAAAGCGGGAUGUUUAUGCGGGUUCGACCCCCGCCACCAACAGCCA